rnacentral:rRNA from 1 species
GAUUAACGCUAGCGGCAGGCAUAAUACAUGCAAGUUGAACGAGAUUAGUUUUAGCAAUAGAACUAGUUUAGUGGCGCACGGGUGCGUAACGCGUAUGCAACCUACCUUAAACAGGGGAAUAGCCUCUCGAAAGAGAGAUUAAUACCGCAUAAUAUAUAUUUAAUGCAUAUUAGAUAUAUUAAACCUACGGGGGUUUAAGAUGGGCAUGCGUGACAUUAGCUAGUUGGUGAGGUAACGGCUCACCAAGGCAACGAUGUCUAGGGGGUCUGAGAGGAUGUCCCCCCACACUGGUACUGAGACACGGACCAGACUCCUACGGGAGGCAGCAGUAGGGAAUAUUGGUCAAUGGGGGCAACCCUGAACCAGCCAUGCCGCGUGCAGGAAUAAGGCCCUAUGGGUCGUAAACUGCUUUUGAACGGGAAGAAAUCUAUUUACGUGUAAAUAGUUGACGGUACCGUUAGAAUAAGGAUCGGCUAACUUCGUGCCAGCAGCCGCGGUAAU